UUGAGCCCAGGAUGACCUCCUGGGCAACAUAGUGGGACUCCGUCUCUACAAAUCAAAAAACAAACAAAAACUUCAAAUGCAGAAUCUCUAGGGGUGGGGUCUUGACCUCAGAGUUUUAAAAGCUCUCCAGGUGAUUCAAGGUGCAGAGAGAGUUGAGACCCACACCACCAGUGGCAGCUGGUGACAGCCUCAGCUUUUUGCUUCCUUGUCACGGUUGGCGCUGCAGCUCUGGGAUUCAUUCAUUCAUAUAGCUCGUAUUUAUUGAGCACCUACCAUAUGCCUGGAACGGUGCUAGGGAAACAGCAGUGUUAAACAGGUGAAGUCCUGCCCGCAUGAAGUUUUACAUUGUAGUUCAGGACACAAUAAGCAGCUUAGCCCGAAACAGAGCCAAGCCAGCCCACCUAAAGGAGCAGGAGCACGCCCAGUGGCAUCAUUGUGACUGUACUGCUGAUUGGCUGGCAGCCUGGGGAGUGUCUGGCCCAGGUUAUACGAUACCCAGGGCCCUCACAUUAUUCAUGGUGGUCUUCACUGGCCCAAAGUGUAAAGAUCUUUAAG